rnacentral:rRNA from 1 species
UACGAAGGGGGCUAGCGUUGCUCGGAAUCACUGGGCGUAAAGGGCGCGUAGGCGGCCUGCUAAGUCGAACGUGAAAUCCCUGGGCUCAACCCAGGAACUGCGUCCGAUACUGGUUGGCUUGAAUCCGGGAGAGGGAUGUGGAAUUCCAGGUGUAGCGGUGAAAUGCGUAGAUAUCUGGAGGAACACCGGUGGCGAAGGCGACAUCCUGGACCGGUAUUGACGCUGAGGCGCGAAAGCCAGGGGGAGCAAACGGG